AAGUCGUAACAAGGUUUCCGUAGGUGAACCUGCGGAAGGAUCAUUACCGAACAACCAAAUCCUCUGUGCCUCCUUGUAGCAGGCAGGAUCGGGGUUCCAAGGGGCUGCCUUCCAGCACCCCUUGGUCUCCAUGCUGCCACUACGUCCUCCUAUUUUACCAAACAAAACCCGUCUGUCGCAUGUUUGUGGCAUCCCCUUGUCGGGCUUGCCCUUUAAACAUAUCAAACAUAACUUUCAACAACGGAUCUCUUGGCUCUC
rnacentral:misc_RNA from 1 species